CCACGGGAACCCCACC
rnacentral:rRNA from 1 species